rnacentral:rRNA from 1 species
GAUGAACGCUGGCGGCGUGCCUAAUACAUGCAAGUCGAGCGAACAGACGAGGAGCUUGCUCCUCUGACGUUAGCGGCGGACGGGUGAGUCACACGUGGAUAACCUACCUAUAAGACUGGGAUAACUUCGGGAAACCGGAGCUAAUACCGGAUAAUAUAUUGAACCGCAUGGUUCAAUAGUGAAAGACGGUUUUGCUGUCACUUAUAGAUGGAUCCGCGCCGCAUUAGCUAGUUGGUAAGUUAACGGGUUACCACGGCGACGAUGCGUAGACGACCUGAGAGGGUGAUCGGCCACAUUGGAACUGAGCCAGGGUCCAUACUCCUAAGGGAGGCAGCAGUAGGGAAUCGUCCGCAACGGGCGAGAGCAUGACGGAGCAACGCCGCGUGAGUGAUGAAGGUCUUGGGAUCGUAAAACUCGGUUACGAGGGAAGAACAAAUGUGUAAGUAACUAUGCACGUAUUGACGGUAACUAAUCAGAAAGCCACGGCUAACUACGUG